GUCUCCUGAGUCUACUGUCUUGACGCAGAGUGUUACCAUUUUGUGCUCGAGGCUUCAGAUGUCUAUGACAGAACUUAUUAUGUGCAGUUUCGACCUCGGUCUCUAUUGGUGCCUCUCCACCUUUUCCUGAAAGUGAAACGGAUUUUAUGAGGGGUUCCCCCCACACUAAAGCCAAAUUAUUUUAUGCCCAUUAGUUGAUUUUUAAGAAAUGUAAGUGACAAUAACAUUCAGUAACUCACUUUGCAAUGCUGAUGAUCAAGCUAGGCUGUAUUUUACUGUCACCAUGCCUGUUGCUCCAGCUAGGCUGUAUUUUACUGUCACCAUGCCUGUUGCUCCUAAGGCCAUAGUAAAUAAAAUACAGUAUAGAGGUGUAAAAAAAAAGGGGGUUAAACAUGGAUAGGGUGUAUGUGAGUCAAUCAGUGUAGUUUCCCUGCACCUGAUGUUUGUGUUUCAGGUGCAGAUGUUUGUUGUCAGACGUUUGUUGUGUGUGCUUUUUGUUAAAACCGUUUUAUGACAAAUGCAAUAUAUCUGCUUGAUGAAAUUACCCAAACCCUCACAAUUCUAUGUGCACAAUAGAAAAUAAAAUAAUUCAGAGAAUAAAAUUAUUAUUAUGUCUGGUUUGAAAUACUCUAAAAUUGACUUAAAUGUCUUUCUUUUGCUGUAUUUAUUUAGUGAGUCAGCAUGUGGAGGGUGAGCUACCAGCAGCUAGUAGUAGCAGCAAUGAAACAGCCUUGCCAGGUAACAGUGCAGUGGAAGAGCAGAGAGAUGCAGCAGCUCCUGAAGUGGCUGAGGAUGUGAGAGUGAGACAGGCAGCAGAAUGUGAGGUAGCCCAGCCGAGCUCUGUACUUGACAGUGACCUUGGCUUCUUCAUAGAUGCAACCAAAUCUAUUGAGGAAAUAGCACAGGCUGUGUGUCAGAUGUCUGAUGGCCAAAAGUACAAUUUGGUGAAAAACCACGUCAGACCUUCGAAACAUUUCAUUUUCCCAACUACAUUUAUUGGUGGGUGCAACAGGGCAUUCAGGUAUGAUUGGUUUGAGGAGCAUGGAUGGUGGCUGGUUUACAGCAUGAAACUCGAUGGCGCUUUCUGCAUAUGCUGUGCUCUCUUUCUCAAUGCCACAGAGAGGAAACAGUCAACUUCACUGAUAAAUGCGCCCUUCAGUAAAUGGCAUAAGAAAACGAAGAUAAUUGGAAGCCACCAAUCGAAAGCAAACCAUUUAGUGGCAUUUGAAAGAGCAAAACUGUUUCGACAGUCACAUGAAAACCCCAAUACCCGGAUAUCAGUCCGUAUGGACAGUGCAAAGGAGACCAACAUCAAAGAGAACAGGCACAUUCUCAAGUGCGUUGCAGAGGCUGUUCUCUACUGUGGCCGUCAAUGCAUUGCACUGAGAGGAUCAGCUGAGCAGCAGCAUUGUAGUGGCAAUCCUGGGAAUUUCUUGGCCCUAUUGAAACUGCUUUCAAAUCACGAUGAAAAGCUGAAGCAGCAUUUGGAGAAACCAAAGCUAAAAAAUGCCACAUAUCUAUCACCUCAAAGCCAAAAUGAAAUGAUUGAUGUAAUAGGGAAGCACAUGAUUCAGGCCAAGAUCGUGGAAGAGGUCAGGCAUGCUCAGAUGUACACAGUCCUAGCUGAUGAGGUCACAUCCCAUAAUGAAGAGCUGAUGCCAAUGUGUGUUCGCUUCGUGGACAAAGACUUAAAUAUCAGAGAGGAGUUGCUUGAGAUUUGUACUUUGCCACGGAUCACAGGUCGCCACAUUGCAAGCGCGAUCAAAGAUGUGCUGAGUCAUCUAAGCAUAGAGAUUGCUGACUGUCGAGGCCAGGGGUACGAUGGCGCCAGCAAUAUGAGCAGCGAAAAUGUUGGCGUUCAAGCUUUGAUAAAAAAGGAUGCGCCUAAGGCAGUUUAUAUGCACUGCAAUGGGCAUUGCUUGAACCUUGUCAUUGCACGCUCUUGUGCUCUUCCAGUUGUGCGCAACAUGAUUGAUAAGAUGAAGUACAUCGUCAUGUUCUUCACCUGCAGCCCGAAGAGGGAACACCUUCUCAAGGAGGUUGUAGAUAAGGAGGCACAUUCUACCGGAAAGCGGAAGCCCCUGAUUGACCUCAGCCGCACAAGAUGGGCAGCACGGCAUGAUGCCUACAGUCACUUCUACAGUGCCUUUGUCUUCAUUAUUAAGGCUCUGGAAGUCAUGGCACAGGGUCUCCAUACAGAGGAGUACAGUGAAGAUGUCACCAGUGGAUGGGAGGGCAAGUACAAAGCAGAGGCCUAUGGUCUCUUGAGUGGGCUACAAAACUUUGGAUUCAUCCUCACAUUCCUCACCGUAUACCAAGUUUUAUCCCACCUGGCGGGCAUCACGGUGAAACUGCAAAGCACCUCACUCGACAUCAUCGAGGCAUUUAGCAUGGUUGAUGAGGUGAAGUCUGUCUACAAGGAGCUCCGCGAGACCAUCGACGACGACUUCAAUCAAAUCUACGAACAAGCAGUUAGGAUGGCUGCUCAGGUCAACGUGGAACCAACCCAGCCGAGAGCAGCUGGAAGGCAGAAACACAGGGAAAAUGUACCCGCUGAAGGAGUGAAGGAGUACUAUCUCCGGAACAUGACGAUACCCUUCUUAGACCAUGUCAUUUCAGAGUUUGAGUCCAGAUUUAGUCCCCUCUCUGUGACCGCAUCAAGGCUCAUGGGCCUAAUUCCAUCUGUCCAGUGCAACUCAGAUGUAACGGUGGACAUCUCUGAAGCAGUCGCUCUGUACCAAGAUGACUUGCCAUCACCAGAGGUCAUUGACCAGGAGCUGAAACGGUGGAAGUUGAAGUGGCAGGUCAAAGCAUUACACCAAAGACCAAGCUCAUGUGCCUCAGCUAUCAAAGAGUGUGAUGAGAUGAUGUAUCCGAACAUCUUCAAACUCCUGAAAAUUGCAUGCACCUUGCCAGUGACCUCCUGCGAAUGUGAGAGGUCUGCCAGUGUUCUCCGGAGACUCAACACAUUCAUGCGGAGCAGCAUGGGAGAGGACCGCAUGUCAUCCUUGGCUCUCAUCCAUACCCACUACGACAUGGCUCUGGAUCUGGAUGAAGCUGUCGAUCUAUACUCAAAAAUGCACCCAAGACGAUUGGAGCUGAUGAGCGUUCUGAUGCAAUAGAAGCCAUAGAAGAAGAAGAGGGAGACAUGGGGGGUGGGUCAUUUCACGUGAAAUCAGACACUUUGGGGCCCAACCGACACAGAUUUUAAUCAAACUUUGUGUGCCUUCUUAGUGGUAAGGUAGAACCCCAGAACUGCAUUUGCAUGAAUCUGGCACUAAUAUAAGGGAGAAAUGGACUAAGAAUGUUUUAAGUAAGAGGGUAGGGCACUACACAUUCAACCUUGAUUAUGUCAAUUUAAAUUACAAAGAGAUGGUUUUGAUGCUGUUUGAAAGCUCUUUUCUGGAACACUUCAAUUUAUAUCAUUAUUAAUUCAUGUUUAAGUUUUAAUGACCAUACCGAUAGUGUACUUCAUGAAGUAAUUCUUAUCUAUUUAUGUCAACAGUGGAGAGAUAGACAAUAAAGGACAGCAACAACAGACAGACAGAACAACAACAGAGACAGACAAUGGAGGGCAGCAACAGACAGGCAAUGGAAGAAAGCAACAGACAACUGAGGAGUACAGAGAACUGAGACUUUCAUCACAUGGAGCAACCAGAACCACCUGAGGCUCCAUGCUGCUGCAGUGUUAUACAGUAUAUAAGCAGUGGCUCAGUAAGUAGCGGCUUGGACUGGGAAUCGUAGGGUCGCCGGUUCAAGUCCCCAAACAGACCUGAAAAUAUUGAAAGUGGACUGCUACUUGGAGAGGUCCCAGUUCACCUCCUCGGCCCUGCUGUGGUGCCCUUGAGCAAGGCACUGGACACCUCCAAUCCCCCCCUCCCCAUUGCUCCCUGGGCGCUGCACAAUAGCUGCCCACUGCUCCUAGUACUAGGAUGGGUUAAAUGCAGAGGACUAAUUUCACUGUGUGCUCUGCUGUGUGCAUGUGUGUGACAAAUAAAGAGGGUUUCAUCCUCCGAUUCUUCAUAUAAAUACAAUUAAUUUGACUUUUAAAUCUAUUUAAUCAUGAUGUAUUGUGAGAAGUAAAGUAUGUGUUCACAUGCUUGGCAAAUAAAGGCAAUUAUGGUAGAACACAAGUUUAACCCCAACACUAGACAGUGUUUAAAUAAUGAUGUUGCUUCAAGUUCUGAACAGUGGGUGCUUCACACACAUCUUCCACUCUGCAGCUCACAGGGUCCUAAAUAUCAGCCCUGCUCGAGGUGGGCACCUGAGACUAGUGUCACUGAUUCAGGAUCUGACCUAGAAGGAAAUGAGCUCACCAUCUCCCCUUCUGAACCGGACUUAUGGUUUUGAAUAAUGACCAGAAAUGUUUUAGCAUUACAUUGUGAUGUCAUAAUGUGUUCCUUUUAGAUAUAAAAUGUCUUCACUUCAUAACAUAUCCUUUAAGAUAUGUGUGUGUUUGAAUCCCUGAGUUACAGCCAAAAACAUGUUUGUGAGGUCACAGUGACUUUGAUCUUUAAAUUCCAGAUUGUGAUCAGGUCAUCCUUCAGUCUAAGCAGA